AAUCAUCGACCCGGUUCCCCAAAUCCGUCGAAAAACUCACCGGAGCUUUACAACGACGGCGAUCACCACCCUCCUUUUCAUUUUCUGAGAAGCUCAAUUGCCGGUUCCUCAGCAACGAAAUCUCAUUAUCCGGUAAAUUAAUCGACACCCUCAGCUUAGAUUUCACGAAUUUUUGUUGUUUCGUGAGAUUAUCGUUUUCGUUCAUGGAAUUUGGGUGUAAGGGGGAUUGUUUUAGUAUACCCUUUGGCCGGUGAUCGUUUGUAGACUUUGUAAAAUCUUCAUUAUCGUAGUCAAAACUCGAAGAUUUAUCUGGUUUUGGCAUUGCAGGUGCCAUUGAAAACAGGGCGGCAUUGAAAGUCGCUAUACGAAUUGGCCUCGCCGACGCCGAGUUUAAAACACCCGAUUCGCCAUUUUGGUGAAUUUGCGAACCCCCAUUCACGAUCGUAUCAUCGUGAGGUUUGGUGUAG
rnacentral:lncRNA from 1 species